CUGAAGUUCACUGUGGAAAGGAGAGGGAAAGAGGUUGGUAUCUAGGAAGAGAAAGAGGGGUGAACAAGGAGGAGGAGAAGGUGAUGGCCAACAAGGCUUUGUGUUAGUAAGGCUGGAACAUGACCUUUAAGCACAGCUAUGGUUUUCCUGAACUUAAUCCUCUGGAUCUUCAGAGCAGAGAAAGUGUUCCUCCCUAGAAGAGAAGGACACUUCCAUCCGCUCUGAUGGUAGGCUUCCCUGGGCCAAGUGAAGGAAAUAACACAUGCUACUCCCAAGCAGAGGGUUUGGCCAAAUAGUACUCUGCAUGCGGUACUAGAUGUUCCACACAUGCUUCUGGACUGAUCUGUCAUGAGACCUGGCAUUCAUGGGUUACAACUUUGAGAUUUUGAAAUGCAGUGUUUGCAUUGCAAGUGACAUCUGGCUGACAGGAACUUGGAGAAAUGGGAUACGAAGUGAAUGCUGCAGUUACCACAAGCAUCAUAUUUAUCAAAAGGUUUAAGGUUGGCCUGUCUUUGUUUAACAUAUGAAACUUGGAACAGUGAUGGGGAAGCGCUAUGUUUUGGUGUUGCGUGCAUUUUUUAACUGAGCUUUUUAGUAAAAGAGUAGUCGGAGAAUAAACACUAAUUGUAUUAUUUGUUCUGCUCAUGAAACUAAAUAUUAUACAUUCUAAUUUUAAGAAAACAGACUUAAAUUCUGUUUAAUAUAAUUUCCAUACAUUUUGCCUUUAUUCAGAGAAUUUGCAGAUUUCAUAUUAGAAGAACAUACAUAUUGAGCACUAUUCAUCAUUACUCAGAAAAGGCGAUGUGGGAGGAAAAAAAGCUCAACCUAAUUUUUAGUUUUAUUUUCUAAUUUGUAAAUGUGCAAAACCGAAGUAAGACAUGUGAAAACAUAGUACAAUAUUUGCAAGCUCUGAAUCUGCUGUAAUACACACAUACGAAUAUCAGCAUUUUCCUAUUCUCCCGUUCUUGGAAAUCAUGGGGCAAAUUAUUAAUUAAGUCAUGAAAAAUAUCAUUCAUUUAACAAAGAUUUAUGAGCCUGCUAUGGCCUGUGGACUACCCAGGUGCUGGAGAUAUGCAGAGGAAUUCGACAACCCCUGCUCUUAAUAAACUCACAGUCAGGUGGGAGGGGAGGUCAAUAUGAAAUAACUAAGUACAAUAUAAGGCUAUAAAUACCACAAUAUGGAAGCACUGAUAAAGGGGAGUAGAUGGUCCAUCUGCCACAGACAGGUAGGGAACAGAAAAUGCAACAUAAAAGCCAUUGUGAAAUCCUCUUAGUGUAUCCAAGUAAGACUCACUUAUUUUUUGAAAUAGGAAAAUAGAAAGAUGGUGAAAAAUCAUCCCAGCUCUUAUCACCUAAAGACAAAUACUGUGAACAUUUCCAUCUAGUGUUUUCUCAAUCACUACUUUUUUUUAGUUUUGAAAGUAUUGCGAUAAUACUGCAAAUAUGCCAAAUGUAUGAAAAAAAUACUAAGCUGCUUUCAAAGAAAACAUAAAAUGUCAUCAUUUAAUGGAUGUCCAUGUUAUUUUAAACUGGAUAUUGUCCAUAUAACAAUGUCCAUAUAAAUCCAGUUGAUUGUCAAUACCAUAAAUUAGCCAUUACUCUAUUAGGAUGUUUGCCUUGUUUUCCAUCUCCCUCAACCAACAAUAAAUUAGUGACUUCUAAGAAAAAAGGCAUUCAGGAGAAGAGCAAGAGAUCUCCAAUGGUGGGAUUCCUGGCACCAAAGUAAGAGGUGAAAGGUGUAAGUAACAUCUUACCCUUUUCAACAUUUAUUUCAACAUUUAUUCGGCAUCUACUACUGUGCUAUGUACUUUGCAUGUGUUAAUUUGUUUAUUGCCACAGGAACCCUGAUUCAAGUGUAGUAUAGUGAAAAUAACUGCGGUUUUACCUGGAGUGGAGUUCAAAUUUAAUUCCCAGCUUUGUCUAGAUGCAUGAUUUCCAAAUUUAGUUAAUCUCUCUGACUCUCAGAUUCCUCACUUAUGAAUUGGGCAAUAUUAUUACUCAUUUGUUUAAUAAUAUUAUGCCCAUAUUAGGUAUAUAUGUAUAUUAUGUGUAUGGUAUCUUGACAGGCAGGAAAUGUAAGAUGAGUAUAACAUGUCUCAUGUCUUUGAGGAGCUUACAGCCUCAUGGCAGAGUCAUUCUUGGGAGUGGGUCUGACAGGUCCCAGGAGACAUAUUCUUCCUGGUGGAGUAGCAUUUGGUCUGGAUCUUAAGUAAGGAGGAGCAGGUUUUAUCUCACGGUUCUUCAACCAAAAUGUUCAUUUUCUGAUAAUCAAUCAAUCAUGUGCCCAGUGUUGUGCAUAUUUGUUCUGUUCCAUGUUCUGAAUAAGCUUACCAACUAGUUUCAGUCUUAAUGCCUAGAAGAAUGUGGCUUCCGAUUUAUAAAUUAAUACACUAACCUAUUUAAGAAAUGAUUGUGUUGGUUCAGAGGUGAUUGGUUUCUACCAGAGCCUUUCUUUCUAAAAGAUGUGCUCAGCCUUGUAAACAGGGGGUCCUGUUGCUCUAUCAGUAACCAUCUUUGGACACUGUAUUUUAAAAACCUCAUUAAUCUGAAUACAACUGUUACUGUUGUAUACCUAGAAUACCUAGGUUUCACAAAUGGACAAUGGUAUUGAGCAAUGCACAGACAUACUCUGUAAUCAGAUUUGGGACUGCAAAUGUUAAGUCCCUCCCUGCUAAAAAUUCCUAAAUCUAAAAUUAAAGCUAGAAUACUCAGACCUAAUGGCAAGUUUUCAAAUGUUCAUAAUUUAGCAAUUUAAAAUGUUUCAGAAACCAUGAAAAAUGUCAUUUGAACCAAAAAGAUAAUUUAGCAAAUUUUUGUCUUCCUUCUUCUACCAAAAUUUCAUGCAAAAGUGUAUCUGAAGAUUCAACAAAUAUGGGAAAGUAAAUAUAUUUUCAAAUUUUACUAAUUAACUACAAUUUUAAAAUAAAACUAUCUACAACUCCUAUCUUCUGUAAUGAAUCAAUGGUGUAUCAGUUAGCUAUUGCCAUAAAGCUGCUGCAUAACAAUUUGCUCCAAAAUUCAGUGGCUUAAAACAAUUCAUCUAUUUUGCUUUUGAGGGUUGACUUAACUGGGAUUUGGCUGGCCUAGACUGAUCAUGGCUAGUGUUGGCUCUAUCCCAUGUGUCUCUUGUCCUCUUCUUGGGACUUUUGGAUUAGUUAGACAUAUCCUUCUUUUAGUGAUGGCAGAGUCACCAAAGAUUGAGUCCAAUCACCCAGUCAUUUUUCAAACAUCUGCUUGCAUCACAUUUGCUGACACUGUACUGACCAAAGUACAUCAUUUAGCCAAAGCCAGAGUCAGGCUGGAUGGGGCACUGCAGAGUUACAGGGCAAACAGCAUAAAUGCGGGGAGUGGGGAAGAAGAGGGGCUCUUAGGGUAAUCUACCCUAAAUGGCUGUGGCAUUUACUACAAAGAAGAAUGGAGUCUAAAUUCAGUGGGUUUUUAUUUUUUAAUUAUCAUGUAUUUAAAGCCUUCUGUAUUCCAGGCAUUGAAUUUUUA
rnacentral:lncRNA from 10 species